CUGGCCCUGAAUCAAGACCAGCAGCUUCCUGAUGCUGUUGGUUUCAAGCAGGAGCCUAAAGAGAUGUCUUUCUGUUGGCCGUUUCAGAACUUGAGCAGUGAAAUGGUCAAUUCAUUAAAAAGAAACAGCU
ensembl:snoRNA